AGUUUGAUCCUGGCUCAGGAUGAACGCUAGCUACAGGCUUAACACAUGCAAGUCGAGGGGCAGCAUGAACUUAGCUUGCUAAGUUUGAUGGCGACCGGCGCACGGGUGAGUAACACGUAUCCAACCUGCCGAUGACUCGGGGAUAGCCUUUCGAAAGAAAGAUUAAUACCCGAUGGCAUAGUUCUUCCGCAUGGUGGAACUAUUAAAGAAUUUCGGUCAUCGAUGGGGAUGCGUUCCAUUAGGUUGUUGGCGGGGUAACGGCCCACCAAGCCUUCGAUGGAUAGGGGUUCUGAGAGGAAGGUCCCCCACAUUGGAACUGAGACACGGUCCAAACUCCUACGGGAGGCAGCAGUGAGGAAUAUUGGUCAAUGGACGAGAGUCUGAACCAGCCAAGUAGCGUGAAGGAUGACUGCCCCAUGGGUUGUAAACUUCUUUUAUACGGGAAUAAAGUGAGGCACGUGUGCCUUUUUGUGUGUACCGUAUGAAUAAGGAUCGGCUAACUCCGUGCCAGCAGCCGCGGUAAUACGGAGGAUCCGAGCGUUAUCCGGAUUUAUUGGGUUUAAAGGGAGCGUAGGCGGACGCUUAAGUCAGUUGUGAAAGUUUGCGGCUCAACCGUAAAAUUGCAGUUGAUACUGGGUGUCUUGAGUACAGUAGAGGCAGGCGGAAUUCGUGGUGUAGCGGUGAAAUGCUUAGAUAUCACGAAGAACUCCGAUUGCGAAGGCAGCUUGCUGGACUGUAACUGACGCUGAUGCUCGAAAGUGUGGGUAUCAAACAGGAUUAGAUACCCUGGUAGUCCACACAGUAAACGAUGAAUACUCGCUGUUUGCGAUAUACAGUAAGCGGCCAAGCGAAAGCGUUAAGUAUUCCACCUGGGGAGUACGCCGGCAACGGUGAAACUCAAAGGAAUUGACGGGGGCCCGCACAAGCGGAGGAACAUGUGGUUUAAUUCGAUGAUACGCAAGGAACCUUACCCGGGCUUGAAUUGCAACUGAAUGAUGUGGAGACAUGUCAGCCGCAGGGCAGUUGUGAAGGUGCUGCAUGGUUGUCGUCAGCUCGUGCCGUGAGGUGUCGGCUUAAGUGCCAUAACGAGCGCAACCCUUAUCGAUAGUUACCAUCAGGUUAUGCUGGGGACUCUGUCGAGACUGCCGUCGUAAGAUGUGAGGAAGGUGGAAGGGCNAAUUCCAGCACACU
rnacentral:rRNA from 1 species